rnacentral:rRNA from 1 species
GACGAACGCUGGCGGCGUGCUUAACACAUGCAAGUCGAGCGGAGCGGCGAACGGGUGAGUAACGCGUGAGUAACUGCCCCCCUCUCUGGGAUAACAGUUGGAAACGGCUGCUAAUACCGGAUAGUGUGGGAUGACUCGCGUCCUAUCAGCUUGUUGGUGGGGUAGUGGCCUACCAAGGGGACGACGGGUAGCCGGCCUGAGAGGGCGACCGGCCACAUUUGGCUAGGGUACGGCGCAAACUCCUACGGGGGGCAGCAGGGGGGAGUAUGGCGCAAUGGGGGAACCCCUAAUGCAGCAACGCCGGGUGCGGGAUGUCGGCCGUCGGGUUGUAAACCGAUUGCAGCCAUGACGCGGUAGUGGCAGAAGAAGCACCGGCUAACUACGUGCCAGCAGCCGCGGUAAUUC